rnacentral:rRNA from 1 species
GAGUUUGAUCUUGGCUCAGGAUGAACGCUAGCGGCAGGCUUAACACAUGCAAGUCGAGGGGUAUAAGUAGCUUGCUACUUAGAGACCGGCAAACGGGUGCGGAACACGUACGCAAUCUGCCCUUAUCUUGGGGAUAGCCCAUAGAAAUGUGGAUUAAUACCCAAUAGUAUAUUCGAGUGGCAUCACUUGGAUAUUAAAGAACUUCGGAUAAGGAUGAGCGUGCGUAAGAUUAGCUAGUUGGUGAGGUAACGGCCCACCAAGGCGACGAUCGGUAGCUGGUCUGAGAGGACGAUCAGCCACACUGGGACUGAGACACGGCCCAGACUCCUACGGGAGGCAGCAGUGGGGAAUAUUGGACAAUGGGGGCAACCCUGAUCCAGCCAUGCCGCGUGAGUGAUGAAGGCCUUC